GCCCCGGUGGUCUAGUGGUUAUGACAACGGAUUGUCGAUCCGUUAAUUCGGGUUCGAUUCCCGGUCGGGGCG
rnacentral:tRNA from 1 species